rnacentral:rRNA from 1 species
CCUACGGGUGGCUGCAGUGGGGAAUAUUGGACAAUGGGGGCAACCCUGAUCCAGCCAUGCCGCGUGUGUGAAGAAGGCCCUCGGGUUGUAAAGCACUUUCAGUGAGGAAGAACGCCUGGUGGUUAAUACCCAUCAGGAAAGACAUCACUCACAGAAGAAGCACCGGCUAACUCCGUGCCAGCAGCCGCGGUAAUACGGAGGGUGCGAGCGUUAAUCGGAAUUACUGGGCGUAAAGCGCGCGUAGGUGGCUUGAUAAGCCGGUUGUGAAAGCCCCGGGCUCAACCUGGGAACGGCAUCCGGAACUGUCAAGCUAGAGAGCAGGAGAGGAAGGUAGAAUUCCCGGUGUAGCGGUGAAAUGCGUAGAGAUCGGGAGGAAUACCAGUGGCGAAGGCGGCCUUCUGGACUGACACUGACACUGAGGUGCGAAAGCGUGGGUAGCAAACAGGAUUAGAUACCCCUGUAGUC